rnacentral:rRNA from 1 species
GUCCUUUUGAAUUUAAUAUAAGGUUUGACCUGCCCACUGAAAUUUUGAAUGGCCGCAGUAAUUUGACUGUGCAAAGGUAGCAUAAUCAUUAGUUUUUUAAUUAAAAGCUUGUAUGAAGGGUUGGACGAGGUAAAAGCUGUCUCUAUUUAAUUUAAAAUAGAAUUUAAUUUUUAAGUUAAAAAGCUUAAAUAUUUUUAAAAGACGAGAAGACCCUAUAGAUCUUUAUAUUAUUUUUUUUAAUUUUAAUUAAGAAUAUUUUAUUUAUUAAUAAAAAUAAUAUUUUAUUGGGGUAAUAAAAAGAUUAAAAAAAUUCUUUUUUUAUUUUUACAUUAAUAAAUGAAUAUAUGAUCCAAUAAUAUUGAUUAAAAGAUUAAGUUACCUUAGGGAUAACAGCGUAAUUUUUUUAGAGAGUUCAUAUCGAUAAAAAAGUUUGCGACCUCGAUGUUGGAUUAAAAAUUAUCUUAGGUGCAGAAGUUUAAGAUUUUGGUCUGUUCGACCAUUGAAUUUUUACA